rnacentral:rRNA from 1 species
UGGGGAAUAUUGCGCAAUGGGGGGAACCCUGACGCAGCCAUGCCGCGUGAAUGAAGAAGGCCUUAGGGUUGUAAAGUUCUUUCGGUAUUGAGGAAGGUUGAUGUGUUAAUAGCACAUCAAAUUGACGUUAAAUACAGAAGAAGCACCGGCUAACUCCGUGCCAGCAGCCGCGGUAAUACGGAGGGUGCGAGCGUUAAUCGGAAUAACUGGGCGUAAAGGGCACGCAGGCGGUUAUUUAAGUGAGGUGUGAAAGCCCCGGGCUUAACCUGGGAAUUGCAUUUCAGACUGGGUAACUAGAGUACUUUAGGGAGGGGUAGAAUUCCACGUGUAGCGGUGAAAUGCGUAGAGAUGUGGAGGAAUACCGAAGGCGAAGGCAGCCCCUUGGGAAUGUACUGACGCUCAUGUGCGAAAGCGUGGGGUGGCCACACAGGAUUAGAUCCCGUGGUAGUCCACGCUGUAAACGCUGUCGAUUUGGGGGUUGGGGUUUAACUCUGGCGCCCGUAGCUAACGUGAUAAAUCGACCGCCUGGGGAGUACGGCCGCAAGGUUA